rnacentral:rRNA from 1 species
GACGAACGCUGGCGGCGUGCUUAACACAUGCAAGUCGAACGGAAAGGCCCUGCUUUUGUGGGGUGCUCGAGUGGCGAACGGGUGAGUAACACGUGAGUAACCUGCCCUUGACUUUGGGAUAACUUCAGGAAACUGGGGCUAAUACCGGAUAGGAGCUCCUGCUGCAUGGUGGGGGUUGGAAAGUUUCGGCGGUUGGGGAUGGACUCGCGGCUUAUCAGCUUGUUGGUGGGGUAGUGGCUGACCAAGGCUUUGACGGGUAGCCGGCCUGAGAGGGUGACCGGCGACAUUGGGACUGAGAUACGGCCCAGACUCCUACGGGAGGCAGCAGGGGGGAGUAUUGCACAAUGGGCGGAAGCCUGAUGCAGCAACGCCGCGUGCGGGAUGACGGCCUUCGGGUUGUAAACCGCUUUCGCCUGUGACGAAGCGUGAGUGACGGUAAUGGGUAAAGAAGCACCGGCUAACUACGUG